rnacentral:hammerhead_ribozyme from 1 species
GUCCAGCUGACGAGUUCCAAAUAGGACGAAACGCAAGUUCUGGGU